AUACCAUCAUUAGGACAUUUAGUUAACAACUCUUUGAAUCUUUCCCAAUCUUCAAACAAAUACUCAUUAUCUUCUUGUCUAAAUAAAGUAAUCUCAUUCCUUAUCUC